GCAUGGCGCAUGGCUGAGAACCAAGAUAAUUUGCGCCGGCAUUUGUCCGCUGCUCUUUUUUUCCUAGUGUUUCAUUGGUGACUGACGUUGCGGUUGAUAAUCGCGGUUAUGAUGGGUGAUUCUGUCCUUGUGCGUAUGGUGGCCGAGCCUGAAUGACUUCUGAGGCCACAGAUGGAACGGCCGAUGGGCAGCUUUGUUUACCUUCAAGACCGAGUGGUGCUGUGAGUUUGCUGAAAGCAACAACAGGACAGAAAAUAUGGGAUGUGGGCCUUGGAAGGACCAGCUGAUGAAAAAAUCAACGCCUGUGCUGCACAGUAAGGCUUCUGGCAGACCUGAAAGCAUCGAUAGAUAUGGUGCCUGCCUGUUGGAAUUGCACCAGCUCGCUUCCCUGAAAGAAGCUAGGUGCUGAAGAAGUACUUGACUAGCCUACCCGCAUUGUCAUUGUGACAGUCUGCAUCACCAUUUGGCCUAUUUGGGGAUCCCACAAGACACGCUGCUACCCUGGGUGUUGUACCUCGGUCAAUUGCUGAAGUUCUGCAAGCCCCAUUGAAGCCAACUGUCAUCCGCAUCCAAUGGAAGAAACUCAUUGUUCGGGCCGUCAUAAUUAUCUUAAGCUGAACCUAGAAGCAGGGUAGAAACAGCAUAUAUUCUACAAGAAUUUACCACUGCAUGCCGUCGGGUGGCUACACCCGACAGACUACUCUCUUGAAGAGAGAUGGUGUUUUAUUCUAGAAUGUAUUUGUCAGCAGUACUACUCCUUCUGUUAUAUC